GUGGGGCCAGGAGGAACACGGGGACAGGACAGACGUGGGGAGACGGGGGAUGCAGAGAUGGGAGGGACACAGGGCCGGGAGGGACGUGGGGACACUGGGGCUGUAGGGACACUGGGGACAUAGGGGAUGUGCUCCCCCCCCCCCGAGCAUCCCAGUGCCUCCCAGUUCCAUCCCAGUGCAUCCCACUGCCAUUCCAGUGCAUUGCAAUGUAUCUCACUGCAUCCCAGUGCCACACCAGUGCAUUCCAGUGCAUCCCAGGGCCAUCCCAAUGCAUCCUAAUGCAUCCCAGUGCCAUUCCAGUGCAUCCCAAUGCAUCCCACUGACAUUCCAGUGCAUUGCAAUGUUUCUCAAUGCACCCCAGUGCAUCCCAGUGCCACCCCAGUGCAUCCCAAUGCAUCCUAAUGCAUCCCAGUGCCAUUCCAGUGCAUCCCAGUGCCACACUGGUGCAUUCCAGUGCCAUCCCAGUGCAUCCUAAUGCAUUCUAGUGACAUUCCAGUGCAUUGCAAUGCAUUCCAGUGCCCCGCCAGUUCAUUCCAGUACCAUCCCAGUGACCCCUAGUGCACUGCAAUGCAUCCCAGGACCAUCCCACUGCAUCCCAGUGCACUGUAAUGCACCCCAGGGCCAACCCAGUGCAUCCCAGCGCACUGCAAUGCAUUCCAGGGCCCUCCCAGUGUAUCCCAGUGCAUUGCAAUGCAUCCCAGGGCCAUCCCAGUGCAUCCCAGUGAAUUGCAAUGCAUCCCAGGGCAACCCCAGUGCCCUCCCAGUGCUUUGCAAUGCAUCUCAGUGUCAUCCCAGUGCCUUGUAGUGCCCUCCCAGUGCACUGCAAUGCUUCCCAAGGCCAUCCCAGGGCACUGCAAUGCUUCCCAGGGCAUCCCAGCGCACUGCAAAUGCAUCCCAAUACAUUACAAUGUAUCCCAGGGCAUCCCAGUGCUGUCCCAGUGCACUGCAAUGCAUCCCAGGGCCAUCCCAGUGCAUUGCAACGCAUCCCAAUGCACUGCAAUACAUCCUAGUGCAUUGCAAUACAUCCCAGGACCAUCCCAGUGCUUCCCACAGCCAUCCCAGGGCACUGCAAUGCUUCCCAGGGCCAUCGCCAUGCAUCCCUGUGCAUUGCAAGGCAUCCCAAUGCUGUCCCAGUGCACUGCAAGGCAUCCCAGGGCAUACCAAGGCCGUCCCAGUGCACUGCAAUGCUUCCCAGAGCCACCUCAGUGCACUGCAGUGCAUCCCAGUACACUGCAAUGCAUCCCCGGACCACCCCAGUGCAUCCCAGUGUAUUGCAGUGCAUCCCAGGACCACCCCAGUGCAUCCCAGUGUAUUGCAAUGCAUCCCAAGGCCAUCCCAGUACACUGCAAUGCAUCCCAGUACACUGCAAUGCAUCCCAGAACCACCCCAGAGCAUCCCAGUGUAUUGCAAUGCAUCCCAGGACCACCCCAGUGCAUCCCAGUGUAUUGCAAUGCAUCCCAAGGCCAUCCCAGUGCACUGCAAUGCAUCCCAGUGCACUGCAAUGCAUCCCAGGACCACCUCAGAGCAUCCCAGGGCAUUGCAAUGCAUCCCAGGACCACCCCAGUGCAUCCCAGUGCAUUGCAAUGCAUCCCAAGGCCAUCCCAGUGCACUGCAAUGCAUCCCAGGACCACCCCAGUGCAUCCCAGUGUAUUGCAAUGCACCCCAGGGCCAUCCCAGUGCAUUGCAAUGCAUCCCAGGACCACCCCAGAGCAUCCCAGGGCAUUGCAAUGCAUCCCAGGACCACCCCAGAGCAUCCCAGGGCAUUGCAAUGCAUCCCAGGACCACCCCAGUGCAUCCCAGUGCAUUGCAAUGCAUCCCAAGGCCGUCCCAGUGCACUGCAAGGCUUACCAGAGACACCUCAGUGCACUGCAAUGCAUCCCAGGACCACCCCAGUGCAUCCCAGUGCACUGCAAUGCAUCCCAGCGCACUGCAACGCAUCCCGGGGCCCUCCCAGCGCACCCCGGCCCCGCCGCCCGGUCCCCCCACUACCUUUCGUGUCCUCAUCCUCGAUGGUGGUGUUGGUGCUGUCGGAGGACUCCUGCGAGCGGCGGCGCCGGAGCGGGAG
ensembl:lncRNA